UGAAAUCCAAAGACGGGAUGUAAAUUAAACUGAUCUAUAUAAGCAGGGAGCAACAUUGUAUUCAGCAUCCUUCAUAAACUCCUUGACUUUUUUUCCUACCAGAAAACAUGAUGAUCCUCCCCAACGACUGAAUCAUUUACAUUUUGUAUAUUCAUAGAAGCACAAAACGAAUACUUUCAACUUCUGCAAAUGUGAGACAAAAAGAAAUUUAUUAUUCCAUACAUUUCAAAAAAUGUUUUGAAAGGGAACAUUAUGGUCAUAUAAAUAAUACCGAUGGUGAACAACAGAAUGAAGAAUGACUACUUAAAGCCAAACUAUGCUAAAUCACAACGUCAUAUGCAUAUUUCAUUCAAGCACUGAAGUCAGUAGGUAUGAGGUCAGGAUAAAACGUAACACCAAAUUCAUCAUCUUUCCUUACUUAAGAAUUGCAUUAUAUUUUUAAACCAUUUUAACCAUAAGUGAGUAUCUUUAGAUGAUAAAUAUUUUGAUGACACAGAUAAAGAGGGGGAAAUUUUAAAUAUGAGAGCGUAAUUAAAUGCAUUUAUAAAUUUGAUAUAUACUAAAUACUGUGGUUUUGUAUAUGAUACUAUGUAAUUUCAACACUUUAUGAAUAUAUCUGUUUCAUAAAAUAUUAAUACAUAUUACUGGACCUAAGAAAACAAUCCACACUAGUAAUACUGUCCCAUGAUAUUUAAUUCACUUUUGUAAAUGUUAACAUUAAUAUUUCAUAAUUUUAGUAACUCUCCUAUUAAAAUGCCGAAAUUUAACAGCAUAAAAGACAAUAUACAUACAACUUUUUUUCAAUAUCUAAAGAUACUGAGUUACUUUAAACUCUUACUCAUUGUCUCUUCAGAAUCAAAUGUCUGAAUGAUAAACAUUAAUUGGUAUGGUUAUGGUAGAGGAUGGUGUGGAAGGGAGCAAUAAAGAGAAAAACAGAAGACAAAUCAGGGGUACUUACUAUUAUUAGAUCAUAUACAUUUGAAGAGGGUGAAAAUAAACGAAGUAUUGUGUGAUCAUAAAAAACGAGCUAUUAGGGCAUUACAGUGACUCAUUCUACAAGAGUUAAUCAAAGACCCAAGAAAAAAUUGGAAGGGAUGGAAGGGAAUAUAUGAUUGUCAAUGCACAAAUCUUAUUAAUGCAUAAUGCAAUUGUAAGAAUUCUAUAACAGAAAUUAAUACCAUUUUAUUUUACAACACAGAAGUGCAUGUCUAUCAUUUUCCUAUUUCUAUUAAAAGUAUGGAGUCUUCUUUCCAAGUCUGCAAUAAAUUAUACUGUUACUUUAGAUAUAUUUUGUUAAUUUAUUUAAUUUGGAUCCGAAAAUUUCCAUAAUAAACUACUGCCAGGAUCAUGAUUGAGGAUAAUCUGAUGUGUAAUAAGUUGCUGAGAACCUUUUUAUUUCUAAAUGGUGGUUCUCUACUUUCUUCACUCUACCUGUGUGUUUUUUUUCCUCCCAUCUCUAAAAACAACCAGAGAUAACAGUGAUAUAAAACAGUUAAUGCUCGUUCCAGGAAAGUUCCAAAGCACCAAGUUUCAAUAUAAAUGGUACUUACAAAUUUUCCAUUUUUCCUUAAGCCCUCCCUCCAUGUUUCUUUCAAACAUCAUUUAAAUUUGACUUUUGUUUAAAGUAUUUCCUUUUAUAUGUCCCCAUACUCAAUCUUGAUAUAUAGAUAUCCACAUAUAGAUAUCCAGAUAUAGAUAUCCAUAUCCAUAACUACAUAUCAUAAUUUCCCCUAGACUAUUUUGAUUGUCAGUAUAAAUGCGUUUUUGUGGGGAAAUAAAUGUCCCUCUCUGAUAUACCUUCUCAUGGUCCUUCAGUAUCUUGGAGCAAUAAUCCACUCCUCAUCCCAUUUUUGUUGUAAAUAAAGCUGUGCGACACUGAGGUAAUUGAUUUGGGGUGCCAGUGACAAUUAAAUAGGUAAACGCAUACAGAGUUUAGUUUGGCAACUAUUAAAAUAUCAACACAUUAAGAACUUGCACUCUAAAACGUAGUUACUAUAGUUGUCUCCUAUAAGAAUUCAGAUGUACCAUGGGUCAAAUCAUUUCUCAAAAACUAUAAUAACCACACCCCAAAGAAGGCUAGAUGUGACAUGAUAAGCUAGAAAAAACUCUUGUUAUUGCAGUCUCUUAAGUCUGUCCAAA
rnacentral:lncRNA from 1 species